AUAUUGAUUGUAAACAUGUAAUUUCAAAAUUUGUUGAAAAUGAUGAUGUGUCCACAUUGAACAGAUAGUUUUGAACUAAUAUACGUAUAAUUUUGGGCUUUAUAUAUUUGGGCUUUGGGUUAUCCAUAAAGAUAUAUAUGCGGAACAUAUACUCGAUUGUUUAUCUUAAACCUAAUUUUAUUUAUUUUCAAUCGCCGCUUUUACUCUGGUUUGUAUGUGUCUUGAUAAUCUAGAGAUUUUGUUUUUAACGAAGCUUUAAUCUUGAAAUUUCUUAAAUCCUUUAAUGGUGAGUAAUUCUCUCUUAAAUUACAGUAAUACACUAUUAUCUAGGUUCUUGAUAUAUCACAUGUUUAAGUGAGAUUCAAGUUUUUUUUU
rnacentral:sRNA from 1 species